CGGGGUGAAGAUAAGACGGAUUAGCGGCGGACGGGUGAGUAACACGUGAGUAACCUGCCUUUUACACAGGGAUAGCCUCGGGAAACCGGGAUUAAAACCUGAUGAAACUAUCAAAUCACAUGAUUAAGAAAGUUAAAACUCCGGUGGUAAAAGAUGGACUCGCGUCCCAUUAGCUAGUUGGUGAAGGUAACGGCCCACCAAGGCAACGAUGGGUAGCCGGCCUGAGAGGGUGAACGGCCACAUUGGAACUGAGAAAACGGUCCAAACUCCUACGGGAGGCAGCAGAG
rnacentral:rRNA from 1 species